rnacentral:rRNA from 1 species
UACGUAGGGGGCGAGCGUUGUCCGAAGUUACUGGGCGUAAAGCGCGCGUAGGCGGCUAAUUAAGUCUGAGGUGAAAGGUUCAGCGCUCAACGUGAACAGUGCCUUGGAUACUGGUUGGCUUGAGUGUGGCAGAGGAGUAUGGAAUUCCUGGUGUAGCGGUGAAAUGCGUAGAGAUCAGGAGGAAUACCGAUGGCGAAGGCAGUACUCUGGGCUAACACUGACGCUGAGGUGCGAAAGCGUGGGGAGCGAACGGG